GCCGAACCGCAGACCUUUCCGGCCUCGCGGAAUGUGGCGUUUGGGAGAGUCUUCUCGCGAUCGGUGACAUCCAGUCAAAGUCCAACUUGACAGUGGCCAUGGCCCAUAGAGGGUGAUAGGCCCGUAAGGCGGUUGUCCUAUCGCGCUGACUUUUCCCUAGAGUCGGGUUGCUUGGGAGUGCAGCUCAAAGUGCGAGGUAAACUCCUCGUAAGGCUAAAUAUGACCCCGAGACCGAUAGCAAACAAGUACCGUGAGGGAAAAUUGAAAAGAACUUUGAAGAGAGAGUUCAAGAGUACGUGAAACUGUGUGGUGGCAAACGGAGGGGUUCUCGAAGUUUCCAAGGGGGACUCAACCUUGGUGACGGCGGGCCGGAGCGUGUCCGAUUAGAAAUGACGGCGCGCUUUGCUCCCGCAGUCUCCCGGACGCACUUUCCCCUUGGUCAACGGCAGGUACCGUUAAAGGCGAACCUAAGGCCCGGGAUGAAGUUGUCGGUUAUGCUGGCAGCUCUCGGUUUUCUGGCUUCGCGCUUGACGGGUACAUAAGCGAACUCGUAUAACGAGCGGACCUAUUCUGCCGCGGUUCGCAUUUCUCUGUCGAGUAGGUCGGUGUCCCCUCCGACCCGUCUUGAAACACGGACC
rnacentral:rRNA from 1 species